rnacentral:lncRNA from 1 species
CAACAAAUGAGGAAGCAGAGUGAGGUUUGCAGAUAUACGUAAAAGAUCAGAAAAAAAGGCAAGAACAAGAACCAGUUGAGAGACAGACAUGAGAGAAAGAAAACAGGAGGGUAUGAGAGAGUUUGAACAAGACAGAAAAACAAGUCAGCACCACGGACAGCGUCCUGUGAGGCCUUUCAUUAAGCCAAAGCAAGCAGGGAAGAAAGGAGGAAAGGAGAAGGUAAGGGAGGGAGGAGAAAGGGAGGGAAAGGGGGAAGAGGCAAAAGCAGUUCCUCCCAGUUCCAGAAUCCAAUGAAGCAAGGUUCGUGCAAGGAGUGAGUCCCAUUUGCAGCCUCAGAUGAGCCAGUGAGGCAGAAAAUGUAGAUAAUAAAGAGAGUUAAUGACAGGCC